AACGCGAAGAACCUUACCAGGGUUUGACAUGUAGUCGCACCAUCCUGAAAGGGGUGUUCCUUCGGGACGGCUACACAGGUGCUGCAUGGCUGUCGUCAGCUCGUGCCGUGAGGUGUUGGGUUAAGUCCCGCAACGAGCGCAACCCUUAUCGUUAGUUAAAAUCACUAACGAGACUGCCCUGAUCAACGGGGAGGAAGGUGGGGAUGACGUCAAGUCAGCACGGCCCUUACAUCCUGGGCAACACACACGCUACAAUGAUCGGUACAGAGGGAAGCUAACCCGCGAGGGGGUGCGAAUCUCACCAAAACCGAUCUCAGUUCGGAUUGCAGGCUGCAACCCGCCUGCAUGAAGUUGGAGUUGCUAGUAACCGUGGGUCAGCACACCACGGUGAAUACGUUCCCGGGCCUUGUACACACCGCAUAC
rnacentral:rRNA from 1 species